UGUGUGUGUGUGAUAUGCAUAUACAUGAUGUAUAUGUGGGGGUCUGGGGCUGCGGCUGCUGCUGCUGCUGCUGCUUUCUCUGUGUGUGAGUGUGU